rnacentral:rRNA from 1 species
ACGGGUGAGUAAUGCCUAGGAAUCUGCCUGGUAGUGGGGGACAACGUUUCGAAAGGAACGCUAAUACCGCAUACGUCCUACGGGAGAAAGCAGGGGACCUUCGGGCCUUGCGCUAUCAGAUGAGCCUAGGUCGGAUUAGCUAGUUGGUGAGGUAAUGGCUCACCAAGGCGACGAUCCGUAACUGGUCUGAGAGGAUGAUCAGUCACACUGGAACUGAGACACGGUCCAGACUCCUACGGGAGGCAGCAGUGGGGAAUAUUGGACAAUGGGCGAAAGCCUGAUCCAGCCAUGCCGCGUGUGUGAAGAAGGUCUUCGGAUUGUAAAGCACUUUAAGUUGGGAGGAAGGGCAUUAAGCUAAUACCUUGCUGUUUUGACGUUACCAACAGAAUAAGCACCGGCUAACUCUGUGCCAGCAGCCGCGGUAAUACAGAGGGUGCAAGCGUUAAUCGGAAUUACUGGGCGUAAAGCGCGCGUAGGUGGUUCGUUAAGUUGGAUGUGAAAUCCCCGGGCUCAACCUGGGAACUGCAUCCAAAACUGGCGAGCUAGAGUAGGGCAGAGGGUGGUGGAAUUUCCUGUGUAGCGGUG